GGUCCGCCAAGAAUUACUUCAUGCGGGAGAUGGAUUAUCAAGUGAACCAUAAUAGUGAAGAAGGAAUGUGAGAAGAUUUUUUUCAUGUUGCAUAAAGUCAAAGUGGCUCGAUCCUGUACCUUCUGAAGUUCUUGAACAUCCAAAACUUUGACACAAAUGACUUUCAUUAUAUUGGAUAGUUCAAUUAUACAAGGCGUCACCUUCAAAAUACAACAUAGUAGAGCAACUGGUAGUAAAUCUUGCAUCAAGAUGUGAUAGUCAU
rnacentral:lncRNA from 1 species